CUGCUUCCUGCAUACUUUGCAAAUGAGAGUAUGUGUCAGCACUUAACCCUGUAUCCCUCUUUCCCUUCUUUCCUUGAACCAGAAGCUUUGGAACCAGCACAGGAGAGCCCUCAGGCUCUGGGGCCCACUAGCCAAAAAGUUGUUCGAGAGGAAUCAUCAGGUUCCCAUCGUUAUCAUCUGAGAAGAGUUCCAGGAAGGAAGAAACAAAAGGUGGGGGGUUCUUCUUCAUCUGUUGCAGCACCCAGCCUGGGAUUUGCCAUCUUGCCAGGUCAGAACAGAUUGGAGCAGCAGUCCCAGAACAUUCUACAUUCUACUGAAGGGUGCUUGGAAGAGACAGAAGGGCAGGAGCAACUGCAGCACCAAGUAGAGGAGGUGGACACUGAGGAGGAGAGCCAUGGGGACAAUGUCUUGCUGCUUUCUCCAGGAGAAGGCAGAAGUGAAGCACAAAGUGGCCCUGCAAGUGACCGUGGUUUGGAGUACAGUGCAGGAAGAAAGGGAACCACCUCUGUUGAUGUGGGGACACAAACCACACCAAAUGAUUCUGACGUUGAAGCACUGGACGAAAUUCAGGCAGCAGACCUCCAGCACGAGAUGGCAAAAAUGCAUGAGCGAUAUGCCAACCGCAUUUCAUAUAAGGAGGAUUUGGAGCGACGGGUACGCCUUCUGGAGGAGUCCAAAGUAUUUCUGUGCUUCCCCUGGCAGCUCUUCCCACCAGUCCCUGAUCCCCCUUGCGAAUAGCACCCUACCCCCCCCAUUUGUUAAUAAACAGUUCUGUUUGCAUUCCUU
rnacentral:lncRNA from 1 species